GACGAACGCUGGCGGCGUGCUUAACACAUGCAAGUCGAACGGUGAUGCUCCAGCUUGCUGGAGUGGAUCAGUGGCGAACGGGUGAGUAACACGUGAGCAACCUGCCCCAGACUCUGGAAUAAGCGCUGGAAACGGCGUCUAAUACUGGAUACGAAACUGGCCCGCAUGGGCAUGGUUUGGAAAGUUUUUCGGUUUGGGAUGGGCUCGCGGCCUAUCAGCUUGUUGGUGAGGUAAUGGCUCACCAAGGCGACGACGGGUAGCCGGCCUGAGAGGGCGACCGGCCACACUGGGACUGAGACACGGCCCAGAAUCCUACGGGAGGCAGCAGUGGGGAAUAUUGCACAAUGGGCGAAAGCCUGAUGCAGCGACGCCGCGUGAGGGAUGACGGCCUUCGGGUUGUAAACCUCUUUCAGCAGGGAAGAAGCGAAAGUGACGGUACCUGCAGAAGAAGCACCGGCUAACUACGUG
rnacentral:rRNA from 1 species